UACGAAGGGUGCAAGCGUUGCUCGGAAUUAUUGGGCGUAAAGGGUAGGUAGGUGGUGAUAAAAGUCCAUAGGUGAAAUCCCUAAGCUUAACUUAGGAAGUGCCUUGGAAACUUUAUCACUAGAGUACUGGAGAGGUUCGUGGAAUUCCCGGUGUAGCGGUGAAAUGCGUAGAGAUCGGGAGGAACAUCAGAGGCGAAGGCGACGAACUGGACAGUUACUGACACUCAACUACGAAAGCGUGGGGAGCAAACAGG
rnacentral:rRNA from 1 species